rnacentral:rRNA from 1 species
GAUGAACGCUAGCUACAGGCUUAACACAUGCGAGUCGCGGGGCGGCAUGGGGGUUGCUUGCCAUCCCCGAUGGCGACCGGCGCACGGGUGAGUAACGCGUAUCCAACCUGCCCUUCACCACGGGAUAACCCGGCGAAAGUCGGACUAAUACCGUAUGUUGUCCAUUGACGGCAUCCGAUUUGGACGAAAGGUUUGGCGGUGAAGGAUGGGGAUGCGUCCGAUUAGCUGGACGGCGGGGUGACGGCCCACCGUGGCGACGAUCGGUAGGGGUUCUGAGAGGAAGGUCCCCCACACUGGAACUGAGACACGGUCCAGACUCCUACGGGAGGCAGCAGUGAGGAAUAUUGGUCAAUGGGCGUAAGCCUGAACCAGCCAAGUAGCGUGCAGGAUGACGGCCCUAUGGGUUGUAAACUGCUUUUAUGCGGGGAUAAAGUGGCCCACGUGUGGGUUUUUGCAGGUACCGCAUGAAUAAGGACCGGCUAAUUCCGU